GUGUCCCUAUUGUAUUGGCUGCUUGCCCCUUUAUAUACGGCUGUACUUCCUCAAUAAACUUAGAUCUGUGUCUCUGAACCUGGUCUCUGGAGUCAUGCAUGCAAGCUCCCUAGCGCGGUGGGCUCCGUCGUCCUCACCCCUGAGGGACCCCCUGUUCCAUCUGGCGCCUUGAACAGGGACCCUGGCACAGCAUGCUCCAGGACGGAAGGUGAGAAAAAUCCCUGCCCGUAACAUCAAACCCUGCACCACCAGCGAUGAGUGGUAGACCACCAUCACCAUCACCCCCGGUAGAGGAAAUGGAGGACCUGACGAUAGAGGACAACUAGCCCCGGCGGCGGAGGCAACCAAGGCACUGACGGGCCCACAACAUUACCUGGGGAAACAUCAAGAAUCUACAGGACCAAGCCACACGCCUGGCACCAGAAGGCAAUCCGUCAGCAGAGACAUUAUUCCUAUUAAUAUGUGCCAUCUGUGUAACACUCAUUCCAGUGAGAAAUGCCUCCUGGGAGCGCAAAAAUUAGCAAAUCUCCUUAAAGGUCCAUUCAGCCAGGCAUUCCUAAACAGCACCUAUAAGCUCCAGCGAGAAAUCCUAAGAAUCAACAAUACCCAAGUGAAACCCAUUGAGUUUAUUUUCUUAAGUGAUGCCCACAGCCGUCUAACCUCCUGGUUAAAUCCUGCUAACAUAUUCAUAUGGGCCGUCCUAGAAGCAGGAGGCCUCCUUGCAUUCAGCUUGUUUCGCUGCUUUUACUUCAUGAUCCAAAGAAUAGAUGCACAGCAAGCUAUGAUUAUCCACAUCCAGCAGGUGCUUAUAAAAAAGGAAGGGGGAGAUGUGGGUAGAGCUCAAAAGAUUUAUCUCAGUGCUUCGGCCGAAGCAAUGCUGUGAGCACACUCCAGCAAACAGGCUUUCUUGGCACACCAGGAAGUGGCAACACCCGCCUGACAAAUCUCCAAGAGCCACCUACUCUUAGCCCCGACCCUCACGGCCAUUGGAUAACAUAGCAAGCAUGUCCCUAUUGUAUUGGCUGCUUGCCCCAUUAUAUACGGCUGUACUUCCUCAAUAAACUUAGAUCUGUGUCUCUGAA